CAAAUCGCUGACUCGAGUAUAAGCCGAGGGGGGCAUUUUUCAGCACAAAAAAUGUGCUGAAAAACUCUGCUUAUACUCAAGUAUACACGGUAAUUGUCAAAUAAAG